ensembl:snRNA U6 U6 spliceosomal RNA
GCACUUCCUUCAGCAGCACAUAUACUAACAGUGGAAUGAUACAGAGAAGAAUAGCAUGGUCCUUGUCCAAACAUGAUAUGUAACUUCAUGAGGUGUUCCAUAUUUUC